AUGGAGGUCGCCAUGCUGGCCAUCCGUCCCCUCCUCCCGAAGCUGGGGAGCCUGCUCGCAGGCGAGUUCACCUUGGAGAAGCGCGUGAGGGAAGGCAUCGACACCCUCAACAGGGAGCUGAAGCUGAUGCAUGCCGCCCUCGGCAAGGUGGCCAAAGUGCCGCCGGAUCAGCUCGACGAGGGGGUCAAGAUCUGGGCAGGAAUGGUGAGGGACUUGGCCUACCACAUGGAGGACAUCGUCGACACCUUCAUGGUGCGCGUCUAUGAUGGAUCUUCCAACCCGAAGAACAGAGUGAAGAAGUUACUCAAGAAGACAGGCAGAUUAUUUAGUAAGGGUAAAGAUCACCAUCGAAUCUCCGAUGCUCUAAAACAAGCGGUUGCUCAGGCUGAACAGUUGGCUGAGCAGCACCAAAGGUACGAGGUGGAGACGCCAGACACCGGCCCUGGUAUUAGCAUUGAUCCUCGCAUCAAGGCUAUGUACACAGAUGUGACAGAGCUCAUUGGCAUCGAAGAACCACGAGAAGAGUUGAUCAACAUGUUACUUCAGGGUGAUGAUUGGUCGAAUAAUCCAUUGAAGACGGUCUCAAUUGUUGGAUUUGGCGGGUUAGGCAAGACGACUCUUGCCAAAACAGUGUAUGACAAGAUCAAAGUGAAAUUUGAUUGUCGUGCCUUUGUGUCGGUUUCUCAGAAUCCCGACAUAAAGAAAAUAUUGAAGGAUAUUCUUUUUGGGCUUGACAAGGACAAGUAUGCAAAGAUAUAUAAUGUAUCACGAGAAGCAAGCCAUCUCAUAGACGAACUCAUUGAAUUCCUCAAUGACAAAAGGUAUCUCAUCAUAAUUGAUGACAUAUGGGAUGAAGAAUCAUGGGAAAUAAUCAAGCUUUCUUUCUUCAAGAAGAGUCUCGGAAGUCGAUUAAUCACGACAACCUGCAAUGUCAAUGUCGCUAAAGCAUGUUGCACUUCUACUGAUGAUAUUUAUAGAAUGAAACCUCUUUGUGAUGAUGUCUCAAGAAGGCUCUUCUGCAAAAGAGUAUUUUCUCCCAGUGAAGGAUGUCCUCAUGAGUUGUCGGAAGUAUCUCAACACAUCUUGAAGAAAUGUGGCGGAAUACCAUUAGCCAUUAUCACUAUAGCAAGUCUUCUGGCUAAUAAUCACCGGAUGAAAACAAAGGACCACUGGGAUGCCGUGCUCAACUCCAUUGGCCGUGGACUCACAGAAGAUCGCAAUGUAAAGGAGAUGAAGAAGAUAUUAUUAUUCAGCUAUUAUGAUCUACCUUCUUAUCUUAAGCCAUGCUUAUUGUAUCUCAGUAUCUUUCCAGAAGAUCAUCUGAUUAUGAGACGCCAGCUGAUAUUGAAAUGGAUAUCUGAAGGUAUCGUUUAUAGUGAAGAAGAAGAGACUAGCUUAUAUGAGCUCGGUGACAGCUACUUCAAUGAGUUAGUAAACAGAAGUAUGAUACAGCCGAUAGGUAUUGAUGAGGAAGAGAAAGUAGAAGCUUGCCGCUUCGUCAUCUCAGUCUAA
rnacentral:rRNA from 1 species